AGAGUUUGAUCCUGGCUCAGGACGAACGCUGGCGGUGUGCUUAACACAUGCAAGUCGAACGGUAAGGCCCUUUCGGGGGUACACGAGUGGCGAACGGGUGAGUAACACGUGAGUAACCUGCCCUCAUCUCUGGGAUAACAGUCGGAAACGGUUGCUAAUACUGGAUAUGAGCUUGCAAGGCAUCUUGUGGGUUGGAAAGAUAUUUUUUGGUUGGGGAUGGACUCGCGGCCUAUCAGCUUGUUGGUGAGGUAGUGGCUCACCAAGGCUUCGACGGGUAGCCGGCCUGAGAGGGCGACCGGCCACAUUGGGACUGAGAUACGGCCCAAACUCCUACGGGAGGCAGCAGUGGGGAAUAUUGCACAAUGGACGGAAGUCUGAUGCAGCAACGCCGCGUGGGGGAUGACGGCCUUCGGGUUGUAAACCGCUUUCAAUUGUGACGAAGCUUUUUGUGACGGUAGCAGUAGAAGAAGCACCGGCUAACUACGUGCCAGCAGCCGCGGUGAUACGUAGGGUGCGAGCGUUGUCCGGAUUUAUUGGGCGUAAAGAGCUUGUAGGCGGUUUGUCGCGUCGGGAGUGAAAACUUGGGGCUUAACCCUGAGCUUGCUUUCGAUACGGGCUGACUUGAGGGAGGUAGGGGAGAAUGGAAUUCCUGGUGGAGCGGUGGAAUGCGCAGAUAUCAGGAGGAACACCGGUGGCGAAGGCGGUUCUCUGGACCUUUCCUGACGCUGAGAAGCGAAAGCGUGGGGAGCGAACAGGCUUAGAUACCCUGGUAGUCCACGCCGUAAACGGUGGGUACUAGGUGUGGGGGACAUUCCACGUUCUCCGUGCCGUAGCUAACGCAUUAAGUACCCCGCCUGGGGAGUACGGCCGCAAGGCUAAAACUCAAAGGAAUUGACGGGGCCCCGCACAAGCGGCGGAGCAUGCGGAUUAAUUCGAUGCAACGCGAAGAACCUUA
rnacentral:rRNA from 1 species